CAAGUAAUUUCUAUUACAAAAUCAAGGAUGUCGGACAUCAGAUUAAUUAAUUUAAAAAUAUCAAAGAAAGAUUAGUAUUGAUAUCAUUUGCUUAAAUUAUCAAAUAUUUACCAAGUCAUCCUAUCACAUCAACUAUAUCAGAUAGAUACUUAUUUCAAUAUAUAAAUAGAUCCUUCAUUUUAAUGGCAAUGCUGUAUCCAUUGAAAUCGGAAGUCCAUGUGG
rnacentral:lncRNA from 1 species